CAGAAAACAAGAGCUUUAUUUCUUGACUGUAGUUAAAGGCGUAGUACCUGGUAGAGUCAUGGCUUUGGUUUAAGUUGGACAUCACCCAAAGUUCCAGCACAGCCAUCAGCAAAUUGUUGAGAGUACUGUGCUUUGUGUGCCCUCUGUACUGGCACCAGCAAGCGCAUUCUCUGCCUGUUGUUGUACCUGUUUGAUAAAGGCAGUCUCAGGGUCAUUUUUCAGAAGCAAUGUAAAGGUACCACAGCCGUUAGCAUACUGACGUGACAUGUCAAGGCUCCAGUGUGUCAAAAUUUUUUUCUUUUUUUUUUUCCUGACAGCAAUGAAGUUAAUGUUAAAAAACAAAACAAAACAAAAAACCAUUUUUUUGGUGCUUAGGCACAUUCACACUCACUAGCUGACUGAUGUGGUUACUCAACACAAGAUCCAUAAAUCCUGCACCUAGAAGAAGUGCCGUUCUUCAUCCCAAAAGCUGACUACAGUUUUUUCCUAUAUAGGAAGCCAGGACCCUGAGUGAAAGCAGAGGCAAAAGCAAUGUGCACUUGGAUGGACGGAGAGCUGGAGGCGAUGCAGGGCACAUUCUUCCCUUGCUGCUGCCAUGGGUGAGCAGCAGCAGCCGGAGCAGCUCGGUGCUGUGUGUUCUGCUGGCUCGGGGGUAAGUCUCCUUCUCAGUCUCAGAUCAGAGGGAAAAGCCUCUCCCCUGGUGGGAGAGGUUGUGCUGAGCAUCAUAGAACGGAAUAAAUGCCUGUUGUUGUGCAGCUGCUGAGCAACACUCCGGGCCCCGCACAGCAUUUGGGUGAGAGCAUCCUGCUGGAUGGCAGCUUUGAUUUUCCAUCGUGGAGAGGCAUCGCAGCACAGCGGGAGCUCAGCCAGAGCCAGAGGUCAUUCUGCAGCAUGUGCCCAGCAUCGGGGCACCUUGCAUGGCUUAAACCAAAGGCUUUCUUUUAAAAUCAAGUGUGUAUUGGACUGUGUGUGCAGGAAAGGCACAAAUCCUCUGGAGAUAAGAGCUGAGGCCUGCUUCCUGUUGCCUUGAAUGCUGCUGCUGGCUGACCUGUGUAUUUGGAGCAAGAUAAUGGAAGUCCGGCAUCAUUACAAAACAGCACAUGUAAGAUUUCUUUCUAAUGGCCUACAAAUCCGGAGAGAGUGCAGUGCACAUUUUAUGAUAACAUUUCUGCUAUCUCAUUGCAGGGGGAUCCAUUCUGGCUCGCGUUCAAGCCCCUGACAAGGCACUGUCCUGUCGCAGUACCCCAAAGCACUCGGUUUCCCCUUUUUCAUGGAAAUCCAAGACUGCACUCGGCAGUGCCUUUGUUGGCAUGUGAGCGUGUCUCUAAGUGAAUUGUAAUGUCUCUUUUGCCACUUUCCUUCUGGAAUAAUAUCUUCAGUGCAAGCAGGAAAUUUUCUUCCAUCAGCUGCUGGUGAAUGAGUUCUUCAGGCUGGUUAUUUUAAAAUAAUUUGUGUAACUUUGAGUUGGGAGGAAUAGGAUGAAAAUGAAAGAUCAGUGGCACGCUGUUCCCUGAGUUUUGGCUGGCCAGCCAAAGAGCGGAGGCAGACGUUCCCCAAGCAGGCAGAGAUGGGAUUAUUCUCUUUGGCUGGACAAAGGGUUUUUUGCUAAAUGAAUGACUGAAGUCAAAGCUAUAUAUGACAGUGCUCUAAUCAUAAAAACAGCAUAUUUCACAAGUUUCUAACUCAAAGUCAGGGAAAGGUUGAAAGAAUUCAGAAGCUGAAAUAGUCUGCCUAAUGUGUAUUAGGGUACUUUGAAAAGGUAUUGUGAAACUUCCAUUAUAUCUUCCUACGUUUUACAUGAACUGAGGCCUUCCUCUAGCCUAGCUUGUAUAUAUUUCUCCACAAAAGGAAAUGAAAAAAACUUUUUCAUCACUAUUGGAGAAACAUGGUUAAAAAACCCUGAGAUAGCGCUUAUUUCCCCAAAUCAGAGAAUUGCCUAAUAAGCACAAAGCUACGGAGUCUGGGCUAAAUUAAUAUUCCUUUUGCUUGCAGACCAUCAGUAAUUCCAGAAUCUGAAUUUCAUUAGGGAG
rnacentral:lncRNA from 1 species